AUGAACGCUGGCGGCGUGCCUAAUACAUGCAAGUCGAGCGAACAGAUGAGGAGCUUGCUCCUCUGACGUUAGCGGCGGACGGGUGAGUAACACGUGGAUAACCUACCUAUAAGACUGGGAUAACUUCGGGAAACCGGAGCUAAUACCGGAUAAUAUAUUGAACCGCAUGGUUCAAUAGUGAAAGACGGUUUUGCUGUCACUUAUAGAUGGAUCCGCGCCGCAUUAGCUAGUUGGUAAGGUAACGGCUUACCAAGGCGACGAUGCGUAGCCGACCUGAGAGGGUGAACGGCCACUGUGGAACUGAGACACGAGCCAGACUCCUACGGGAGGCAGCAGUAGGGAAGCUUCCGCAAAGGGCGAAAGCCUGACGGAGCAACGCCGCGUGAGUGAUGAAGGUCUUCGUAUCGUAAAACUCUGUUAUUAGGGAAGAACAAAUGUGUAAGUAACUAUGCACGUCUUGACGGUACCUAAUCAGAAAGCCACGGCUAACUACGUG
rnacentral:rRNA from 1 species